UACGGAGGGUGCAAGCGUUGUCCGGAAUCACUGGGCGUAAAGGGCGCGUAGGCGGCUCAUGAAGGCUGUGGUGAAAGUCCGGGGCUCAACCUCGGAUCGGCCGUGGCGACUCGUGGGCUGGAGCACUGUAGAGGCGGGUGGAAUUCCGGGUGUAGCGGUGGAAUGCGUAGAGAUCCGGAAGAACACCAGUGGCGAAGGCGGCGACCUGGUCCUUGACUGACGCUGAGGCGCGAAAGCGUGGGGAGCAAACAGG
rnacentral:rRNA from 1 species